UGAUUUUUGCGAUUGGUAAAUUAAUUUGUGGGUGUUUAGGGUUUUGCAUGAUUUUUGUGUGUGUGUUUGUGUAUUUUGGUGUAGGUCGACUUAGGAUAUAGUUUAGGUCGGGUCGGGUUGUAUCAUGUGGGGUUGAGGUCGGGUACGAGUUAUAUAAUUAAUUUUUUUUAUUAUUUUGUUGAAAACCGACUACUUGUGGUCGAUUUUCUGGAUAUUUUAAUAAAAACGGACCACAC
rnacentral:lncRNA from 1 species